rnacentral:rRNA from 1 species
CACGUAGGGCGCAAGCGUUGUCCGGAAUUAUUGGGCGUAAAGAGCUCGUAGGCGGUCUGUACGUCUGCUGUGAAAACCCGGGGCUUAACCUUGGGCUUGCAGUGGAUACGGGCAGACUAGAGGCAGGUAGGGGAGAAUGGAAUUCCCGGUGUAGCGGUGAAAUGCGCAGAUAUCGGGAGGAACACCGGUGGCGAAGGCGGUUCUCUGGGCCUGACCUGACGCUGAGGAGCGAAAGCGUGGGGAGCGAACAGG